CCAGCAUUCAGUUGGGCGACUCUAAGGUGACUGCCGGCUAAAAGUCGGAGGAAGGUGGGGAGUGACGUCAAAUCAUCAUGCCCCUUAUGACCUGGGCUACACACGUGCUACAAUGGGCGGUACAAAGGGUCGCGAACCCGCGAGGGGGAGCCAAUCCCAAAAAGCCGCUCUCAGUUCGGAUUGCAGGCUGCAACUCGCCUGCAUGAAGCCGGAAUCGCUAGUAAUCGCGGAUCAGCAUGCCGCGGUGAAUACGUUCCCGGGCCUU
rnacentral:rRNA from 1 species